CGUGUAGGCGGCUGGGUAAGUCCGCUCUGAAAGCCCGGGGCUCAACCCCGGGAGGCGGGUGGAUACUGCUCAGCUCGAGUCCGGAAGAGGAGUGUGGAAUUCCUGGUGUAGCGGUGAAAUGCGCAGAUAUCAGGAGGAACACCAAUGGCGAAGGCAGCACUCUGGGACGGUACUGACGCUGAGACGCGAAAGCGUGGGGAGCAAACAGGAUUAGAUACCCUGGUAGUCCACGCCGUAAACGAUGGGCACUAGGUGUGGGGGGUGUCGACUCCCUCCGUGCCGAAGCUAACGCAUUAAGUGCCCCGCCUGGGGAGUACGGCCGCAAGGCUAAA
rnacentral:rRNA from 1 species